CUGAUAUUUACAUCAAUGAUGGUAAACAUGGAACGUUCUGGUGCAAUAUUUACCCUCAACAAGAUAUCAAUAUUUUUCCUCUGGUGGACUCCAAUCGAAAAGUUCUCCGAUUAACUAGGCUUUUGGGCCCAACCUGUGACCCUAGGGACAUUGUUUUUGAUCAGAUCCACCUAGCAGAAGUAAAAGAAGAAGAAUGGAUAUAUUUUGAAGGCCUGGGUGCCUAUUGUGUUGAUGUAUCCACCCGUUUUAACGGUUUUAAUCCACCUCUGAUUAAGUACGUCAUCAGUAGUAAAAUCAGACACCAGUUGAAGAAACAAAACAAGAAUGGAAACGACGAACUUUUAUCAUUUAUAGAAAAAAUAUGGUCCUAGGCGUUUCAGGAGAUAAACGUCAAGAACAUGAAAUGCUAUUCGAAAGAUUUUAAGG